ACUUGGGUGGCUGAGUGGUUAAGGCAUUGGACUUAGGAUCCAAUGGAUGUAUAUCUGCAUAGGUUCAAACCCCACCCCAGGUG